AUUAUCAGACUUGUUGCGAGGUUGUUCCAAAAAGUCCGAUACAGUCAUGAUAUAACAAUAUUGUUACAACCUUGUGUCGUCAAACUUGUGACAUUCUUGUUAUAUCAUGACUGUAUCAGACUUGUUAGAACAACCUUGUAACAUUCUUGUUAU
rnacentral:miRNA from 1 species